ACGAGGAAUGAACAGUAGGCAGCAGGAGAGCUGCAAGGAGAGCUGCAGGUGUCAUCCAAGGGUCAUGAAUUGUCUAUGCAUGGGUUUUUCUAAGGGGUUGUGAUAGUUUUCACUCUAGGCCUUCCUGGAGACCAGCUUGUAACCAGGAAGGAACUAGGAAGGUGACCACGGAAGUAUUCCAUGCUAUUUCUUUACGUAACUUCAGAUAUAAAUAAAGCCAACGGGAGGGACCCCUCUCUCUUCCUUUCCGGCGAGGCUCGAGAACGGUGGGUCCCUGUCUCGGUCUUGCUUAUCUGGAGCUGAGGCCUGCAGUGACUGCUGUUAUCUGCCACGCGUGAGGGGAGAGCGCUGGGCCGUGUCCAGCCGUCCUGCUUCUCUCAAGGGAAGUGGUGAGAUUUUGCCAGUUCUUCAGUUUGCUGGUUACCGGGUUUUUAGAUUGUGUAGACCUGUUUUGGUUUUGUCCCUUUUCAUCCUAUUUUGUCCUUUUUCCCUUCUCCCUUCCCCUUUCCCCUUUAUGAAGCUAUUUAGGGUUUCUGGGGUUAUAGGUAUAUAAUAUUCUCACUGUAUAUAUCUGUUUCAUAUGUAAAAUAUAUAUUUUUGCUAUAGCUUUGGCUGCUUGGUUUUUUUUCUUCCCUCUCUGGGAAGCAGACCCUGUUGUCAAGUUUCGGAGACUUGGCGGGAAGCCAGCUCGAAACUUGCACAGGGGUGGCUUGAAGAGAAAGAGUGUGGAAGUUGCUGGGAAGGCAAAGGGGAGCCCAAAGGGUAGAGGGGCAAUGAUGAGCUAGAAAAGACCAGGAGGAAGAAAAUGGGAUUACUGGCAAAUAGAAAAAUUGAAGUGAACUGUUAGUGGAACAGUCAGGAACUGCGAUAAGGACAGCACACAAAGCCUUAUGGAACACACAGAGCCAUGCAGAGAUCAGAAGACCAUGUUGGCAAUUUCUCACCCGCCCACAGACUGGAUCUCCUGGGAGCCUGAGGAGGGUCUUCACAGAUUCACUUCUGUUAAGAUCCCCCAGGCUCUCACACACUCCCAGGUGCUUCAUUCCUGUUGCCUUUUUUAAGCUCUCCAUGUGUCUGAGCCUGGUAACACUUCUGCUUAUUUAGCAGUUGCUUUUCCUCCUUCAGCUGUCACACUCCUUUUGUGCCUUCCCAAGGAUGCUUUUCUCAGCUUUCCUUAUGUCCUUUCUGUUUUGUUCAGGGAGUCCUAAAUCUCAUGGUGCAGCUUCUCCUCUCAUCACAGGGAGGUGGGAAGUUCAUCACCAGUUACAAAUGUUGCCUUCUGCUCCUGACAGAACUGCAGGAUAAACUGGAUGUCUUCUCCUGUCUGUGAUGCAAAGCACCUCCCACCAUCAGCAUCUCAAUCCCCAAAUGGACAUGCCUUAAAUAACAUGUGAAAGUGUGAUUCACUCCAGAACCUGCUGCAUCAAGGACCAUCUUCCCAGACAACUCUUGGCCCAUGUCAUCUUUCCUCUCCCACUUGGGGACAAAUAUGAAUCUCAAGUGACUUCCAAGGAACACAAGGAAGGAUGACUCAUUGUCAUUUUAAGCUUCCUUGGCUAUAAAUAGUCCUCACUCGCAUGACACAGCAUUCCCACAGAUUCCUCGCUUCUCUACAUGCUGUAGAUACCCCAAGGAUUCACAAAUCGUUCCUGAGCUGUCCAAGUUUCAAGAAGAACAUGGGCAUGGGUAUGGAGUUUUCCAAAGGGACAUGAUCUCACAGGCACAGGGCUGACUACACCAAAUCUCCCCUCUGCUGCUUAUCACUUGCUGAGAAGAGAUGCCUUACAAAACCAUAAUUAACAUUUAAACCAGCAGUUACAGUAAAGACCUUCUUAGAAAAGAUACCCAGACCUGUUUUUCAUAAAAGCAUUUUUAUUGCCUCAAAGGUUUUAUUAAAAUCCCAACAGAUCAAUUACAGAUUAUUGUUUCAAGCCUCUACCUGCCUGGUUAUCACUCAGCCCACAACAGUGAAAGACGUGUGCUCCAUUACAGGCUCUCCUCUCCCUCUCUUGUAACCACUCACUAUUGUUCCCCAGUGUGGUAGUUUGGUCUGGGCCUUCCUUGGUGACCAGUUUGUAACCAAGGAAGGGCCCAGAUUUACCCGGUAUUCCCUACAAUUUUUACAUAAGCCAGACUAUAAGAAGAAAGGAGGGAAGGCCUUCGCUCUCUUUCCUUCCGGCGGCUUGGAGGUGCAGGUUCCCUGCUGUUGAGUCUGCAGUGUUGGGGAGCGAGGCCUGGUAAGGCCUUGUCGGCCUUGGGAGACGGAGGUUGCCGGCGAUCGUUCCAGCCUGACUUUCCGUUGUCCCAAGGAGAGUAGUGAGAUAUUUCUUUGCUAACUCUUUUAGUUCCUAGAUC